GGGCCGUGCUAUAUUUCCCAUUUUCCCUGUGUUUGGGCCGAGCAGAACAUUGCAUGUCGAGACUGCUGUGCUUGUUUCCGAACAACAACAACAUUACAGUCAUCUGCAGCCAUCAAACCAGUCAAUUCUGAUCGCUUCCUGUUCAUAUGCAAAGCUACGAUAUGUCCAAAAGAAAAAUCAAAAGGUUAUGCGUGACGCGAAUGAUCUUGUAUGUCGGCUAAACUGUUAUUAUAAGCAGAUGGUUUUACUUAAAGCACUUUGCUUUUGCCAGCGUGAAUACUCCCUCAGUUCAAAUUAUAAAUUCAUUCUAACUACUUUUUUAAAGAGUCAAACCAUUUUAUGUUUGAUUAAAAUUACAUAGAGAAUCACAAAGGUUUAUGACACCGAAUAAAUAUACUAUAAAAAUAUAUUUAAGGUAUCAUCAUGAAUGUUAGUACUUUAUUAUAUAAAUUUGGUCAAACUUAAAAUAUUUUGACUCUUCAAGAAAGUUAGAAUGACUUAUAAUUUGGAAUGGAGGGAGUAGUAUAUUAGUCUAUGCACCUACGGUGUGUAGUGACUAGUGAACACGUGAUCAACGAUGGAAAGGUAGUGUGAAGCUUCCUCAAGGGCACGGCUGCUAUGCAGGCACAAAACAGUGACAUUUUGAGGAUGGAAAUGGUAAUAUUGUAAUGUCGACAUCGUAAUGACACGUAGACGCAUAGUAUAUCCCUGGAUAAAACAUUCUUGUAUAAUAUUUGAGAACUUUUUCCAUGUCAUGCAUUUUCGUAUAAGAAGUAGUGGGUUUUGCGUCAAAAAAAUUUUUUAGAGAUGUUCUUUCAUGAAUCAAGGGAAAAAUUUAUCACUGAAGGUCUACAACCCUCGCAAGAAAAAAGAAGGUAUAAACUAAAGUGAGUAAUUAUAACUAGUACUAUUUCAUCUCUCUUUAUCGUGUGGUUGUGAUCUGUAAGCAUGUCCUUUUUGUUCAUGAAAGGUAGACUUUCUUCAAACCAAUAGGAAAGGUAGAGUAAUUAAAGAUGCAUGCAUCAUGUGACAAUGUGGAGAUAUAUGAAGCAGACUUUUUAGUUGUGAAGUCGAGGCUGUUAAUUAAUUCUAUUUGCAAGUAGAUCCUUUCUUGGGAAACCAUGUGCCUAGACCAGUAUGAGUAGUAGUACGUUCUUGAAAGAAAAGCAAUCAGCUUGGAGUCAUCCAUGUUCAUCCUCGGCGUAUUAACAAUUGACCUUCUAUGCUUUCAGUUUCAGCAACCCCUUUUGUUAUUCCUGUUGACUUUGUACUCAGAUAGGGCAGGAUAACAUGUGCAUACACAUACUCUUUCACAAAUAAAAAGAAGUGAAUACAUAGUAGUAUAUAUACGUGCAUUGUAUAGCGUAUCUCUCUCGUCAAGAAACUAUCAGAAUAAGAUCGCUAAAGAAAACUAUCAGAAAAGGAGAAUCAAGAUACCUACCUGUAGCACGCAAAGCAUGAUGAGCACGAUGCUGCUUGUACAAAGUGAAGCAGACCCGUUUCUAUCCAAAAGGAUCAUGAUCAAUACCAACAUCAUAUCCUGCUUUGCAGAUCCGGUGAGAUCGCCCUUGGCUUUAGACAUGGAAUUGAUGAAGCAUCGAACUUUGAGACACAAACUGUAGUGAUGAUGAGUAGAGAGACGACAAACCCAACCCCUGAAAGAAUGACAAGCACCUUGUUGACUAGGCGACGAAUAUCAAACCCUAGCUACCUAAGGUCGUCCAUGAUUCAUGCAUGAACCAAAAAGGAACAGUAAAUUAAAGCUAAAGCAUUAUAGCAUCACAUUAGAAAAAAAAAAGGCAUGCACUGCAAAAGCUGAGUAAAUUAUAGCAUCAUCCAUGCAUGCCAUACCUUUCCAUGCUAAUUUGAUUCGUCCUGUGUUGUCAAGUAGUAAGAACCAAACUUAGUUUAGUGAUGAGUAGUGGAACAACUUACUCCUAAAGGAACGACAAGUACCUUGACUAGACGGAGAAUACGAAACCCUAGCUUAGAUCAUGACUCAUAAAAGGGAAAAGAAAGAAGAACAGGAACAACCGUGGUAGACACCAAACCACACACCCCAGAAGUAAAUUAAUUAGGACGUUGCAAAAGCCAACCAGCCCAAGUAAUAAACAUCGAUAUCGCACAUGCAUGGAAAGGCACACGUAUGAUAUGUACCAGUGGAUAUUCCGGUCUCCUGGGUUUAGUCAAGAAACAAAGGUGAUUUGGACACGCUUGAUAGUGGCAGUCCAACCUAGAGGAGAUGAGUAUCAUUGUGCCUCCACUAUGGCUAUCAAGUUUCAUCUGCGCCGCCGAGGUGUAUCAUAAUAUCACUAGUGUUGCAACCUGGAAUGUUCCGUCUAUAUGCUCGGUGGGACAUCAUGAGAUCAUUAGCCAACAUCUUAUUAAGCUAGUAAUGGGGCCAAAUUAAACAUAAUUGCAAUCCAACUAACAUUGGUAGGAUUUAGGUUUUUAGGUUUAUCCUAUAUAAGAUCCCAUUUGGAUCCACUCAGCUAAUCCACUAGAUGUCUAGUCGAAAUUAGCUGGAUUGGAUCAGCUGAAUGAAUACUUAUUAUCCAUCUAGUUUGAGAGCUUUAUCUGGGUAUUAGCUAGCCAUGUUUCGAUCCAGAGCUUUAUCUGGGUAUUAGCUAGCCAUGUUUUGAUCCAUCCCAGCUGAAAUUAGCUACCUACCAAUUAGCUGGUGGAUCCAAACAGAUCCUAUGUUAAAUUUCACCAGUUUUGAUCAAAUUUAUUGGAAAAUACAUAAAUAUUUACAAUAUUAAACUAAUUUUACUAGAUACGCUAUGAAAUACUCCCUCCAUACCUAUAAAGGAUGUCGUUCUGGGCGAGUGAGGCGUUUUCAUAUAGGAUGUCGUUCUACACUCGCUGGGGAGUAUUUGGACACGUUUGCCCCUGGCAUGCAUUUCGGCUGUUGUUCCACUGGUCAAAGCAUUAAUCGCGGUGCUUCAUUUCACUCACCUCACUUCCUCGCUGCACUGCAGCGUCGCCGGCUCGCCUCCCUCACUGCAGAGUCGCCCGCUUGCCUCCUUUUCAAUCCAGCAGUCUCCCUUCCGCUCGCGCCAUGGACUCGACGAUCGAGC
rnacentral:lncRNA from 1 species